rnacentral:rRNA from 1 species
GACGAACGCUGGCGGCGUGCUUAACACAUGCAAGUCGAACGGAAAGGCCCUGCUUGCAGGGUACUCGAGUGGCGAACGGGUGAGUAACACGUGGGUGAUCUGCCCUGCACUUCGGGAUAAGCCUGGGAAACUGGGUCUAAUACCGGAUAGGAGCCAUUUUUAGUGUGAUGGUUGGAAAGUUUUUUCGGUGUAGGAUGAGCUCGCGGCCUAUCAGCUUGUUGGUGGGGUAAUGGCCUACCAAGGCGGCGACGGGUAGCCGGCCUGAGAGGGUGGACGGCCUCAUUGGGACUGAGAUACGGCCCAGACUCCUACGGGAGGCAGCAGUGGGGAAUAUUGCACAAUGGGCGCAAGCCUGAUGCAGCGACGCCGCGUGGGGGAUGACGGCCUUCGGGUUGUAAACUCCUUUCGCUAGGGACGAAGCUUUUGUGACGGUACCUAGAGAAGAAGCACCGGCUAACUACGUG